UGGCCGCGGGAUUUGAUUAAGCCAUGCAAGUCGAACGAAUUUAGAUUCGUGGCGUACGGCUCAGUAACACGUGGAUAACCUACCCUUAGGACCGGGAUAACCUUGGGAAACUGAGGAUAAUACUGGAUAGGCAAUUAUUCCUGUAAUGGUUUUUUGUUUAAAUGUUUUUUCGCCUAAGGAUGGGUCUGCGGCCGAUUAGGUAGUUGGUUAGGUAAUGGCUUACCAAGCCGUUGAUCGGUACGGGUUGUGAGAGCAAGAGCCCGGAGAUGGAACCUGAGACAAGGUUCCAGGCCCUACGGGGUGCAGCAGGCGCGAAACCUCCGCAAUGUGAGAAAUCGCGACGGGGGGAUCCCAAGUGCCAUUCUUAACGGGAUGGCUUUUCAUUAGUGUAAAGAGCUUUUGGAAUAAGAGCUGGGCAAGACCGGUGCCAGCCGCCGCGGUAACACCGGCAGCUCUAGUGGUAACAAUUUUUAUUGGGCCUAAAGCGUCCGUAGCCGGUUUAAUAAGUCUCUGGUGAAAUCCUGUAGCUUAACUGUGGGAAUUGCUGGAGAUACUAUUAGACUUGAGACCGGGAGAGGUUAGAGGUACUCCCAGGGUAGAGGUGAAAUUCUGUAAUCCUGGGAGGACCGCCUGUUGCGAAGGCGUCUAACUGGAACGGUUCUGACGGUGAGGGACGAAAGUUAGGGGCGCGAACCGGAUUAGAUACCCGGGUAGUCCUAACUGUAAACGAUGCGGACUUGGUGUUGGGGUGGCUUUGAGCUGCUUCAGUGCCGAAGGGAAGCUGUUAAGUCCGCCGCCUGGGAAGUACGGUCGCAAGACUGAAACUUAAAGGAAUUGGCGGGGGAGCAAUCACUAGUGCGGCCGCCUGCAGG
rnacentral:rRNA from 1 species